UACGUAGGCAGCGAGCGUUGUUCGGAAUUACUGGGCGUAAAGGAGUGUGUAGGCGGUUGUUCCAAGUCUGGAUGUGAAAGUCUCCCGGCCUCAACUGGGAGGGUGCGCCGGAAACUGGAAUGCUAGAGGGUGGGAGAGGGUAAGCGGAAUUCCUGGUGUAGCGGUGAAAUGCGUAGAUAUCAGGAGGAACACCUGUGGUGUAGACAGCUUACUGGACCACUUCUGACGCUGAGACACGGAAAGCGUGGGUAGCAAACAGG
rnacentral:rRNA from 1 species